UGUGGCUUCUCUAAGGACCUCAAGAAGAUGGGGAGCAGGCAUGAGAAGGACAAGUGAAAGCAUUUCAGGGACAGUCAGGGGGAGGGAGUGCUAGGUCCCAACACCCAGCAGGGCAGGAGCCCAGGUGUGUGCAGGGCUGGGAGGAGGGCGAGGGACUUCAGAGAGGAAUGAUCUGGAGCCAUCAAUAAGCUUCACGGUGACUCAAUUUUCUAUCUGUGCUACUGGUUUUAAAAGUUAAAGCAGGGGUCUCCUUGCAGCGAUACACCAGAGCAGAGUACUUGCUGCGGCGGCGGGAGUCAUGGGAGGACAAGCAUUUAGAAAGUUUCUUCCGGUUUUUGACUGGGUAUUGGUUGAAAGGAGUGCAGCUGAAACUGUAACCAAAGGAGGCAUUAUGCUUCCAGAAAAAUCUCAAGGAAAACUACUGCAAGCAACAGUAGUGGCUGUUGGAUCAGGCUCUAAAGGAAAGGGUGGAGAGAUUCAACCAGUUAGUGUGAAAGUUGGAGACAAAGUCCUUCUCCCAGAAUAUGGAGGCACCAAAGUAGUUCUAGAUGACAAGGAUUAUUUCUUAUUUAGAGAUGGUGACAUUCUUGGAAAGUAUGUGGACUGAAAUAAAUCACUAUUGAAAUGGCAUUGACAUGAAGCUCA